ensembl:snoRNA
AUGGCCCCAAAACAAGGCUGGCAGUUUUCUGAAGCUAUUGUUUUCAAGCAGGAGCCUAAAGUAGUAUCUUUCUAUGGUCUGUUAGCCAUUUCAGAACUUUAGAAAUGGGAUUCUGCCACAUUGAGAGAAACACUG